rnacentral:rRNA from 1 species
UACGUAGGGUGCAAGCGUUGUCCGGAAUUAUUGGGCGUAAAGAGCUCGUAGGCGGUCUGUCGCGUCGGAUGUGAAAUCCUGCGGCUUAACCGCAGGGCUGCCUUCUAAACUGUCAGGCUAGAGCACAGUAGAGGCAGGUGGAAUUCCGGGUGUAGCGGUGGAAUGCGUAGAGAUCCGGAAGAACACCGGUGGCGAAGGCGGCCUGCUGGGCUAUGGCUGACACUGAGGCGCGACAGCGUGGGGAGCAAACAGG